UACGUAGGGCGCAAGCGUUGUCCGGAAUUAUUGGGCGUAAAGAGCUCGUAGGCGGCUUGUCACGUCGGGUGUGAAAGCCCGGGGCUCAACCCCGGGAGGCGGGUGGAUACUGCUGGGCUCGAGUCCGGAAGAGGAGUGUGGAAUUCCUGGUGUAGCGGUGGAAUGCGCAGAUAUCAGGAAGAACACCCGUGGCGAAGGCGGCUCUCUGGAGCGCAACUGACGCUGAGACGCGAAAGCGUGGGGAGCAAACAGG
rnacentral:rRNA from 1 species